UUUCCUUGAUGACAUCCGCACACGUCUUACGCCUUGGUUCAAUGCCAGAACCUGAAAAGGUGGACCCACUGGUGUUGCCUUGGCAAUAAGGGGACACAUGUUGGGGUUCCAACAGUCUGAAUGGAAG